rnacentral:rRNA from 1 species
AGCGAACGCUGGCGGCAGGCCUAACACAUGCAAGUCGAACGAACUCUUAGGAGUUGGUUGCUGAUGGGUGAGUAGAGUGUGGGACCGUGCCUUUUGGCUCGGGAUUCUACAGGGUAGUUUGUGCUAAUACAGGAUGUGUUACUCUGGGGCCAGAUUUAUCGCACUUAGAGAGGCACGCGACUGAUUAGCCUGUUGGUGAGGUAACGGCCCACCAAGGCGUCGCUCAGUAGCUGGUCUGAGAGGAUGACCAGCCACACUGGGUCUCAGACCCGGCCCAGACUCCUACGGGAGGCAGGAAUGGGGAAUCUAGCGCAAUGGGGGAGAGCCUGACGCAGCCAUGCCGCGUGAAUGAUGAAGUUCUGAGGAUAGUGAAAUUCUUUCAUCGGGGACGAUAAUGACGGUACCCAGAGAAGAAGCCCCGGCUAACUUCGUG